AUCUCAGCAUCACUUCAUGCAUGCAAUCGAUCAUGCCUAGUACACACAGAUCAUCAUGACCGUCACUUCGUCUUAUGCAGCAAUGGCGCCUAUCGUCCGGUAAUCGGAUGGCCAAUUCAUUCUUGCAUGCAGCUCAAUGUGAUUAAUUUAUGUAUUCCUUCAUGUAUGCAUAUAUGAAUGCCGUGCAGUUAAUGCCAUACAAACAUAUGCUUAAUCUUGUUUGCUCUCUGCAUGCUACUACAGCGGUUUAGACAAGUCUUGUUGAAAUUGUUUGUCAAAAGCACCAGCACAACGAUCUAUACAUAUAUACGUAUCAUGCAUAAGUAAUGUGCAAGUAAACGUUUCUGAACAUUUCAUGUCUACAAAUUUGCAGUGCAUGCAGUAAUAAUGUGCUUUCUGUUGUAUCAUAUAUAAUUUCCUCGAGUAUUGUUGUCCAAAUGGCCAUUCAGCCUAUUUUCAGGGGAAUAUUUGAUGAUGAGUUCUUCGGAUUUAAGGCGCUGCAGACUUGCGGUUUUUUUGCAUGCAUUUCCUGAUGUUUCCUUCCUGGACAUUGAUCGAUAUUAUCGCAGGGACAAGCAACAAAUGUAUGUACAACAGUUCAUUAGCUAGUGCAAUACUGUAGCCAUUUGCAUUUAUCUGAAAUAUAAUGUACAUUUAUUUGUUAUAUUUUAAUUUCUCUGGAGAACAAAUUGCACGGCUAUAACUAUUCAUUGUUUAUCUUCUUUAUGUAUUUUACAGUCUUUCAGUUUUCAAAUGGAAAUUUAUCUUCUCUACCCGGCUCCUUCGGAACGUGGGAAGUACAAUGCCUUCAAAAUUCGCGCAAAUGUCCUUCAAACCGAAUAGGCUUAAGAUUUUUGUAUUGGACUCCCUCUCCUUUUUUUUUUGAAUGUAACUAAUUCAGGCGGGGGAAACUCUCCCCCAGAAAUCAUUCAGAAAUAAUGAUAAUAAAACUCUUUCAGUUUUCAGAG
rnacentral:lncRNA from 1 species